rnacentral:lncRNA from 1 species
GAAACCAGUUGUGCUCCAGAUUCUCCCAGCCCAGCCACGCAUGCUCCCUCCCACCUGCAAAGCAACGGGUCUGACGGCGCGCAAGGGCUUCUGGGAAUCGUAGUUCCUGGUGGGAGGGGCUGGUCGGCGUUGCCCCGGCUUCUUACGCAUGCGCGACUCCGAGCUGGCCUGAGAAGUUCGUAGCCUUUGUCAGGCCCGGGAUGGGAGCCAUGUCUUCCCAGGAUUCCCCCCUCUGCCAAGAGAAGAACACAGAUGAGGAAGAAGUGGCAGCUAUGUGCCUCACAGCCAGAUCACAGGUGAGUGUGAGUCUACUGGUGAUAGAAGUCCCACCUUAUUUCUCAGAGUACAGGUGUGCUCCCUUCUUUUUGAUAAAAGUUUCUUUUUUUUACUAGAGCCCAUCUAGAGAGCUGAGUUCUAAUUCUGAGAGAUUAAUGAAUUUGGUAGGAAAUACUUUCUACUUUUCCAUAGUACCUCAAUUCUCCACCUAGUUUUUAUUGUCCCUCUACAGGCAGGUAAGCAACAUUUCCCUUCUUUGGCCUACUUUGCUAUUUCUGUGCUUGGUAAUGUGGGAAACUAUUUUAAACAUAAUGUCAUGAAUGAAUGCAUGUGAUUUGAUGAAUGAAUGGAGGAAAGAAUGCAUGUUACUAUAUGUAGGAGUUUAAGAAAACAUCUUAAGUUAUGAAGUGAUUAGAAGGCAAUUAAUACUCAAAUAGUUCAAAUGAGUGCUAUAAAAGGGAAGCUUAGGAAGGGAUAAAAUAACUGUUAGAAUCCAGCCCAGCCCUCCAAAGGGGCGAAUGCUGGAGUAUUAUUUCUGCAACUUACUCUUAUAUCAUUGCUACCCCUUCCCUGUGCAAGAGCAGCUAUGGCAAAUGUUAGGAAUUUUUGAAUUCAUGUAGUGGUUGUACAGUGGAUAAUUAUUGUUUUUCUUUAAACUUUCAUAUGUUUUCAGCCCUUUUUAUUUAGAGACAGGGUCUCACUAAGUUGCUCACGGCCUUGCUAAGUUGCUGAGGCUAGCUUUGAACUUGCAAUCCUCAUGCCUCAGCCUUCCAAGUUGCUGAGAUUGUAGGCUUGCACCAUAGCGCCUGGCUUUUAUUUCUUAGAUCUCAUAUUAUUACCAUUUUGUAAACUUUAAACUUUGGAAAAACUGUAAACAUAAGAAAUGUUGCAAAGAAUACUAGAUAUCUUGUCCAGAUUCUCUAGAAGUUAACAUUUUUACUUUGCAUUAUUUCUUUUUUCUAGAAUUAGGACAUUAACAAUAGUAUAAUACCAUACCCUGCUGACCUUCAGAUUUUCCAUCUGUCU